CGUGUCUUCCGAGUUGAAGACUGUUACGGGAGGGAGGAAUGUAAACCGAUCUGAACCUCGAUGGCCAAGUAGCUGCAAUAACGUAGCUCUGGAAGACGGACGGACAAUUUCUGACAGAUGGUCGUCGUCAGAGCUGAGCAAUGUAGACAGGAUUCGGGAACUUGUGAGAGUGAAGAUGAAUAAGAGGGCCGAUGACAAUCAGAGAGGACCUCUCGAUAGGAACCCAGGAGAAGGAUGGGGCAUUCAUUAGAAUCUCUACCGAAUGAUCCAAGAAAUCCCGGGGGCGGCGUUUACGUAGGUUUGAAUACGCAACCCUUUCUUUCCGAGUAUGCUUUAGGAGCGAUAGAGAGGAGGGUCCUUGGAGAGAUGGAUACUGCGGGGAGCGGACUACUAUCGUUAGGUGAAGCACACAGAAGAGUUCCACUUGAGUUUGAACCAAAGCUGUUAUUGAGAGGAGUUAACUGUAUGCUUCUUCCAUCACUCCUUUCUGAGGGAAGAGGGCUCCGUGAACCAGAGUGUUGUGAACCGGAAUGCAUUGACA